rnacentral:rRNA from 1 species
CGACGAGUUUGAUCCUGGCUCAGGAUGAACGCUAGCGGCAGGCUUAACACAUGCAAGUCGAGGGGUAUAGUUCUUCGGAGCUAGAGACCGGCGCACGGGUGCGUAACGCGUAUGCAAUCUACCUUUUACAGAGGGAUAGCCCAGAGAAAUUUGGAUUAAUACCUCAUAGUAUGUGAGAAUCGCAUGGUUUUCACAUUAAAGUUCCAACGGUAAAAGAUGAGCAUGCGUCCCAUUAGCUAGAUGGUAAGGUAACGGCUUACCAUGGCGACGAUGGGUAGGGGUCCUGAGAGGAGACUCCCCCGACACUGGUACUGAGACACGGACCAGACU